GUCCACGCCCUAAACGAUGUCUACUAGUUGUUGGGUCUUAAUUGACUUAGUAACGCAGCUAACGCGUGAAGUAGACCGCCUGGGGAGUACGGUCGCAAGAUUAAACUCAAAGGAAUUGACGGGACCCGCACAAGCGGUGGAUGAUGUGGAUUAAUUCGAUGCAACGCGAAAACCUUACCUACCCUUGACAUGGAUGGAAUCCUGGAGAGAUCCGGGAGUGCUCGAAAGAGAACCAUCACACAGGUGCUGCAUGGCUGUCGU
rnacentral:rRNA from 1 species